GAGUGGCUGCCGGCACUUUCCACUGUGAGAUGUGCUGCCUGAGGGUCUGGUGCUUGGCUGUGGGCUUUCAACCGAUCUCAGUGUGGGUGUGGCACAACUGACACUGUUGCUUUUCCUGGCCUUAACAAGCCACCCAUUCCAUCGCCUCCCCAGGUGGCUGUGGUGGUGGCAGUGAAGCCUGUCAGGUCACAGAGCAGCUCCUCACCAGCCCAUCGCAUUCUGUCUCCGGAGAGGUCCCAUCACAGGCGAUGGGGCAGAGAGGACUGAGUCGCAGCCCAGAUCUCAGUGUCUAGGACUGGACUUGGUUUGUCAAAAGUGUAGUCUCCCAUCCCUGCUGGCAUUGGCAGGCUGCAGUGCAGAGUGCCUAGGGCUCAUCAGGAUUUGCCAACAGAGGCUUGUCCAAGAAUCAUCCAGCCAGCUCCACGUGAGGUUACAUUGCCAUCACCGGACUCUGAUGGAGGAUUCAGACAGCCCACUCCAUGCCUCCAGCACCACACCCUGCAGCUGGCAGAACAGUGGCCCCCAAGACAUCCUCAUCCGAAUCCUCAGAGCCUGUGAAGGGCA
rnacentral:lncRNA from 10 species